AUGUGAUGAUGAUGAUGAUGAUGAUGAUGAUGAUGAUAAUGAUGAUGAGCAUCGUCAUUAUCGUCAUUGUUGUUGUUGUCAUCAUUAUCAUCAUCAUCAUAG
rnacentral:pre_miRNA from 1 species